CAGCUCGUGUCGUGAGAUGUUGGGUUAAGUCCCGCAACGAGCGCAACCCUUAAGCUUAGUUGCCAUCAUUAAGUUGGGCACUCUAAGUUGACUGCCGGUGACAAACCGGAGGAAGGUGGGGAUGACGUCAAAUCAUCAUGCCCCUUAUGAUUUGGGCUACACACGUGCUACAAUGGACAAUACAAAGGGCAGCGAAACCGCGAGGUCAAGCAAAUCCCAUAAAGUUGUUCUCAGUUCGGAUUGUAGUCUGCAACUCGACUACAUGAAGCUGGAAUCGCUAGUAAUCGUAGAUCAGCAUGCUACGGUGAAUACGUUCCCGGGUCUUGUACACACCGCCCGUCACACCACGAGAGUUUGUAACACCCGAAGCCGGUGGAGUAACCAUUUGGAGCUAGCCGUCGAAGGUGGGACAAAUGAUUGGGGUGAAGUCGUAACAAGGUAGCCGUAUCGGAAGGUGCGGCUGGAUCACCUCCUUUCUAAGGA
rnacentral:rRNA from 1 species